rnacentral:rRNA from 1 species
AUGGACAUAGUUGUUGUAAUAUCGAUGGGUGCUAAGCAAGUUCGUAAACACAGACCACUUAGCACUGAGCAGUUCAGUCCUGCAACCAACCUGUUUCAGAGGCAGUGUUCCAUUCCAUGUUCCCGUGGGUGCAUCCAGCGCCGCCUGUUGCUCACAAUCCAUGUUAGCUUGCCAAGUCUGAGGAAACAGGAUAAGGUUGAGGAGUCAGGACAAAACUCAACAUUAGGCAGAACAAACUUUUUGUUCUUACCUUGUCUCGUGCCCGGCAGCACGACCGAGCUCCUCUCAUGCCCAGCAGCAGGACCAUGCCCGUGCUGCAGUACCAAACUCCUCUCGCGCACGGUGCCGCCCAAGGAUGCUAAAGGCGGGACCUUUACACUUGUAUCUUUGGUUGGUGUAGCGCGGGUCUCGGUUGAUGUGGUGUCUAGGUCUUGA